GGUGGGGGAUGGGCUCGCGUCCUAUCAGCUUGUUGGUGAGGUAGUGGCUCACCAAGGCGUUGACGGGUAGCCGGCCUGAGAGGGCGACCGGCCACACUGGGACUGAGACACGGCCCAGACUCCUACGGGAGGCAGCAGUGGGGAAUAUUGCACAAUGGGCGCAAGCCUGAUGCAGCGACGCCGCGUGGGGGAUGACGGCCUUCGGGUUGUAAACUCCUUUCAGCAGGGAAGAAGCGAGAGUGACGGUACCUGCAGAAGAAGCGCCGGCUAACUACGUGCCAGCAGCCGCGGUAAUACGUAGGGCGCAAGCGUUGUCCGGAAUUAUUGGGCGUAAAGAGCUUGUAGGUGGCUUGUCGCGUCUGCCGUGAAAACCCGAGGCUCAACCUCGGGCGUGCGGUGGGUACGGGCAGGCUAGAGUGUGGUAGGGGAGACUGGAACUCCUGGUGUAGCGGUGAAAUGCGCAGAUAUCAGGAAGAACACCGAUGGCGAAGGCAGGUCUCUGGGCCAUUACUGACACUGAGAAGCGAAAGCAUGGGGAGCGAACAGGAUUAGAUACCCUGGUAGUCCAUGCCGUAAACGUUGGGCACUAGGUGUGGGGCACAUUCCACGUGGUCCGCGCCGUAGC
rnacentral:rRNA from 1 species